CCGCAUGCAUACCAUUCAACCUACGGAUGAUGGCCGUCUUAUUCACACACAUACCUGCUUACAUUACUCACUCCAAUUAGAGUUUCGUAAACGCAACAUGUAUGUAUUCAAUGAAUGAACGAUUUCUGGUUGUGGAGAACGCAUUUGAGUGUGUUUAUGAAUGGAUUUCAUCUACUAUCAAGGCAUCAUUUGAAUCGAUUGGGACAUUGGAAACCAAGUGACCACACAAGCAUACUGCUCAUCACGGUAUACCAUAGGGGGACUUGUUACACCUUAACGUGCAAUGAAUUCUCUUUGCACACAGGUAUUUUCCGUUCGAGGUCAUAUUGGACGCAAACAUGUCAUUUAUGGUUCUUGUUACUUUGUGCCCAAAUUAUCUGCACAGCUUGGACCGAUAACUCAAUGAGUGGACGUACAGGUACCCCAACGAUUUGAUACGAACCUUUCAACAUAGACCCCAUCUCCUGAGGCAGAUAUUUAUGAUCGCUUUAUAAGGGUAUAAUUUUGGAUUUCCCAGGUGGAUGCAGUAUACCACUUAAUUUUUUUUAUAGAGGAAUACAAAUUUAUAUAUCCUUUUUGCCUGAUAUUUGGGAUAGGUAUUUUUUGUUUGGUAACAGCAGUAUAUGGACAGUUAACGGCGUCACCCCCUUGGAGUAGGAACAUACAUUGCGAAAAACAGCGCAAUAUUUUUAUACCUGAGGAUUGUCAACUAUUUCUCAUUCUUGAAACACAUCGUGGAAAAAGUUUUACCAACCCAAAUAGAUUGGUUAACGGUCGCCUCACAUCCGUUGAUAAAGCGCUACGGUGCCGGUUCCACUUAACCUGAGGUAACUAUUUAAAAAUUCUUUAUCUUCGUUACCUGGUUGACCAGAUACUUAAUUGGCUUGUGGGAACUUAUGUCGGCGGUAAUUAUAUGGCUCUUUUCUGGCAUAACGGACCCUGUCGCAUCAAUCUGCUGGCUUGCUGCAACUUAGAUGUCGACACAAAUUUUUCUAUGGCAUAUGGCCGGUUUAAACAAGGCGACCUUCCGCGUAAACUGUUGGAAGGCCUCGUAAUGGCUUGCAAUCUGAUGGAAUCUUAAAUGGAAGGGACACAACACUUGUUACGACCAACAUUAGACAACACCACAAUUUCAACUUACAUCUAUGAUUUUUAUCCAUCCAACAUAAAAAGAAUAAAUGCAAGGCACGCAGCCGUAUAAACCCGUCAAUAAAACUUAAUUUUGUACCGUUGUUAAAUGCCGACUUUUUCCAAAUGGUCGAUUUUGGCAAACGAAAUAAAAUGUUGUUUUUUCUAUAGCGCAUCAAGAAAAUCUGACUUUCUUUUGGUUAUCUCUACGCUUUUAUACGGGAAAAAUGACGCCAAGACUAAUUUCCCCUUCUCAUCGAUUUUCCCACAAUUUUCCAAAUUUAUUUACUUUUCUUCACUUGACUGUUCUACUAAACAUAAUCAUACGCACAGAACUGCAUUUUUCUAACGCCGAUCUAAAAGAAUCGACUCAGCAAAAAUCAACACAAACUUGGCACUACCUUUUUUUCACAAAUCAGGAGACCCCGCAUAUCCGGCUCAUUUUCAGUUUGGCGUUCGAUCAUUGCCGGUUAAAACUAAUGCCGGCUUGUUUAUUUUAUUGCGCCAUGGCAUUUAUUUAUUGUGAACACCACCGCAACAAAACUUCGAAAUUAGCAAGUGUAUCGCAGAAAAUUUCGA